rnacentral:lncRNA from 1 species
AAUCUUUCUAUGACUCAGCUUCUAAGAUGUAAAAUGGAAAAAAAUCUUUAUCAUACUGCCUAUCUUCCUUUUUUGCUGUUGGUUCAAACUCUUAGUUCAGUGGGUUCAAGGCUAUCUCUUAACACGCAUCUUGUAAAUGGACAAUCUUGAAAGAUUUCUGCAGUCAGCACAGCUCACCUCUAUCCUGGGACAUGUCUGUGCUCUGCAAUCUGUUUUACAUAGCAGUGGUUUAGAGACCUUCAUCUGGAGGCCUGGUGACCUUUAUCUCCCCAGAUAUCCUCAUAAGAAGAAAAUGUCAAGUAAUUCUCACUGUUAAUAAAAUUCUUAAUAUUAGGUCAACUGCACAGCAAAUUCUUUCCUCUGCCAUCUUGGUCUGGGAAUGUGAGGUCACUGCUGUUAUGGUAGUAUACAUUUCCAUAGGUUUUGUAGAGAAAAAAUAUAUUUUGCUUUGUAUACUUCCCUAAUACAAAUCCUAGCCAAUCUCACAAUGGAAAAGUUGGAAGCUUUCUUUCGAGACUUGAUAAAGCAAUGAUCUUGGAAUUAUUUUCUAAGUUCUAAGGCUCUUUUGCUGCAAUCUCCAACCUGUCCAAGGAAAUCUAAAAUAAAAGACAAAUAAGUUGUUAAUGACA